CAGCCUUUUAAGGACUCGAGUUAGGGUCUAUGAAGUAUGGGCAGGGACCGGAAUCAUUCCCCACUUAAAGACAAAGAAGACCUCUUCACUGCGGCAAAAACAUUACCAUAACUUUACCACAACACAUUCCGCUUACAGUUGUAAUAUAAGGACAUACUAGAUCACGUGAUAUUCCGUCCGUCUAGAAGACAAACACACUGGGAGCUGAACAGAGCUAAUUGUAAAUAGAUGUAUUGGGCAACACAUUUGAUACUUUUUUGUCUGGUAGUAACGCAAGUUCGAUGUGGCAAUGAUCUAUAUGGCUUUGUCAGGCGGGAAAUAGUAACACCAUGCAUCUCAAAUCCAAUCAACGACAUCUGUCCCUUAGGUCACAAAGUCCCCAAACGAGUAUACAACAUUUACCCUGGAAUAAGUGCGAGUGUACGUAGAAUUUCAGCCAGAUUUCGUUCGGCUGGUGGAAACGACAACUGUACUGAAGCAGUUAAAAUGUUCCAAUGUUCACGAUCGAUAAGAACAUGUAAAAGCAACUUAAGCUAUUUCUAUUUGGAUUCUGCCAGAGCGUAUACACGUUGUGCGGCCGCGAGACAUGCGUGUGCAGAAGUGGAUAAAACAUUGCAGGAUGCGUGGCUUGAUUGCAACACGGUAAGAAAUAGAGGUGACUCAAGACGAGACAGACGACGGGAUACCUGUGAGAAAUAUCCAAAGUUGCAGAAUGAUACAUGUCCAAUGCGGAAAUAUAAGGUA